GAGAUGUUGGGUUAAGUCCCGCAACGAGCGCAACCCCUUUCUGUAGUGCCAGCAGUUAAAGAUGGUGCGGACCUCUGGAUAGAAACAGUGCGGCAGGUACAAANACGGGGAGGAGAGAGGAGGUGGGGAGAUCGAAUCAUCAAUCAUUCACUGCCCCCUCUAUGAUCUGUNGGCUACACACAGUUGUUUACAAAUAGGGGCGGUACAAAAGAAGGAAGACAAAGAAACGCGGGAGAGAGGGAGACAUAAAAUCCUCCUCAAAAAACCCGCUCUCUCC
rnacentral:rRNA from 1 species